rnacentral:lncRNA from 1 species
CACAGGUACCAGAAAGGCAGGCAGAAGUCGGCCCCCAGAGAGCACAGAUACAGGAAGCCCCUCUCUUCAGUCAGUCCCCCAGUUCAUCAGUAAUGAGAGCAAACGCAACAGGAGAGACAGAAACACAGCAACAAGCCAUCUUUUCCUUCCGGCCAAACCUCCCUGACUCUCCUGGCGGCUCAUCUCCCAACCUGAAAGGCUUAUCGCAGAGCCUAGAUGACUGGUUUGAUUUUUGCUCGUUCUCUUCCUGCACCAAAAGGUAGACAGAGAUUGAGAGAGGGAGAGAGAGGGAACAGAAAAGAGAGCAGGGGGUCUGAAUAAUCUUUAAAGUAGGUAAUUAUCAAUACGCAUCAAGAAACUUUAUCAUUGUCCCAAGAAUGAAGGUGUUAAUGAUGUUUGAGUUGGAGGAACGUGCUCACCAAGUUUUGUCUUUUUGAGACCCUCUUCUUUUGGAGGUCUGGCCUCCCUAAUGGACUGACCCUCUGUGUCAGUCCCAGGGAGGGAAAUGGAGAUCCCCCCCGGGGACUUAAAGUAGCCAUUCUUCUAGUUGCAGAGCAAUCAAGAUACCUUUUCAUCAAGGAAAUGAAUGAGGUGGUGUGUCUGAGGAUGAGAGGAGGCAGGAAACCAUCAAAGGGCAUACAGCUUGUUUGGGACAAGGAGAAAAGCAGUGGGAUGGGGGUGUCAGCCCUUCUCACAUGUUCUAAUCACCAACCUGUCCUUCGCUAUUGGCUCCUUCCCUCUAUCUGUAAAUGUCAUCAAAUCUCUUUCUCCCAAUACAAAUAAGUAAAUAAAUAAACAGCCAAACACCAACAUAGCCCCCAAACCGACUCCCCACUACCUUCAGUGUUCCCCUAGUAACUAUCCUGACUCUCGUCUUCUCAUCCACACUAUUUAUAAAAAGCAGCCAUUGUCGUUGGGCUGUCUUUAUAAGCACUCUGUCCUCAGGCCACUCUCAAUGGGCCUCUUCCUGCUCCAAAUCCAAUGGACUUUCUUCUGUCUUCUAGGGGACCCUUCUCCUUUGUCCCUUCAUAGCCCCUGGUUUCUUUGACACCGCCCUGCCCUGCUUCUGCCCACGGCUCUCGGAACCCUCCUUCUGUCCUCCGCGAGCCUGUCUCCUCGCUGGCAUGCCCACGUUCUGCAGGAUUCUGUACCUGCUCAUAGCUCCUCCCACUUUAUGCUCUGUCCUGGGCCACGCUUUUCACGCUCAUGAUCAACUACAAAUGAAGUGCGAUGUCUCCCUGAUUCUGAAUGUCACUUCUGAGCUUCAAAUCUAAAUAGUCAACAGCUUGUUGGACAUCUCCACCCGGAAGUACUACAGGAACUUCAAACUCAACACAUCAACAGUGGAAUUCAUGACUGGGCCAGGCACUGCGUUUUCUUCAUCUUUGUGUAUCCAGCACCUAGCAGACAGCAGGCACUCAGGAAUUGUUGGCUGAGUAAGCAUCUUACUUGGAAGGCAGAGGGGCGGAAAUGUUUGAGAAUUAUAGGAGUGUGUAAAAGUCCCAAAGUGAUGCAAGGAAUGUAGGUUGGAGUGUUCAUCAAAACUGCGUUUCCUAGAAGUCAUUAUAUGAAAAGGACACUAGCACACGUAAAUUUACAGCAGCACAAUUCACAAUUGCAGAGAUGUGGAACCAACCUAAGUGCCCAUCAACCAAUGAGUGGGUAAGGAAAACGUGGUAUAUAUACACCAUGGAAUACUACUCAGCCAUUAGAAGGGAGGAAAUAAUGUCUUUUGCAACAACUUGGAUGGAGCUGGAGGCCAUUAUUCUAAGUGAAGUAACACAGGAGUGGAAAACCAAAACCACAUGAUCUCACUUAUAAGUUGGAGCUAAGCUAUGAGUAUGCAAAGGCAUACCGUGUGAUGUCAUGGACUUUAAAGAUGCAGAAAGGGGAAGUGGGUGUACAGUGUGAUAUCAUGGACUUUAAAGAUGCAGACAGGGGAAGUGGGUGGGGGACUGGGGAUAAAUCACCACUAUAUAAUUCAUCCAUGUAACAAAAAGCACCACUUAUACCCCACAAACUAUUGAAAUACGUUUUUUUUUAAAGGAAAGAAACUGAUGCACUCAAAUAAAAUAAUAAAAUCCCAGGUCUUUGAAAAU